rnacentral:rRNA from 1 species
GACGAACGCUGGCGGCGUGCUUAACACAUGCAAGUCGAACGGAAAGGCCCUGCUUUUGUGGGGUUCUCGAUUGGCGAACGGGUGAGUAACACGUGAGUAACCUGCCCUUGACUUUGGGAUAACUUCAGGAAACUGGGGCUAAUACCGGAUAUGAGCUCCUGCUCCGUGGUGGUGGUUGGAAAGUUUCGGCGGUUGGGGAUGGACUCGCGGCUUAUCAGCUUGUUUGUUGGGUAGUGGCUUACCAAGGCUUUGACGGGUAGCCGGCCUGAGAGGGUGACCGGCCACAUUGGGACUGAGAUACGGACCAGACUCGUACGGGAGGCAGCAGUGGGGAAUAUUGCACAAUGGGCGGAAGCCUGAUGCAGCAACGCCGCGUGCGGGAUGCCGGCCUUCGGGUUGUAAACCGAUUUCGAAUGUGACGAAGCGUGAGUGACGGUAAUGGGUAAAGAAGCAACGGCUAACUACGUG